AUUGAACGCUGGCGGCAGGCUUAACACAUGCAAGUCGAGCGGAGAUGAGGAGCUUGCACCCUAUCUUAGCGGCGGACGGGGGGGUAAUGCUUAGGCAUCUUCCUAUUAGUGGGGGACAACAUUCCGAAAGGAAUGCUAAUACCGCAUACGUCCUACGGGAGAAAGCAGGGGAUCUUCCGACCUUGCGCUAAUAGAUAAUCCUACUUCGGAUUAGCUAGUUGGUGGGGUAAAGGCCUACCAAGGCGACGAUCUGUAGCGGGUCUGAGAGGAUGAUCCGCCACACUGGGACUGAGACACGGCCCGGACUCCUACGGGAGGCAGCAGUGGGGAAUAUUGGACAAUGGGGGGAACCCUGAUCCAGCCAUGCCGCGUGUGUGAAGAAGGCCUUAUGGUUGUAAAGCACUUUAAGCGAGGAGGAGGCUACUGAGACUAAUACUCUUGGAUAGUGGACGUUACUCGCAGAAUAAGCACCGGCUAACUCUGUGCCAGCAGCCGCGGUAACAC
rnacentral:rRNA from 1 species